rnacentral:misc_RNA from 1 species
AACAAGGCGUACCUGCGGACCUGCGGAGGGAUCAUUACCGAGUUUACAACUCCCAAACCCCUGUGAACAUACCUAUACGUUGCCUCGGCGGAUCAGCCCGCGCCCUGUAAAAAGGGACGGCCCGCCCGAGGACCCUAAACUCUGUUUUUAGUGGAACUUCUGAGUAAAACAAACAAAUAAAUCAAAACUUUCAGCAAUGGAUCU